rnacentral:misc_RNA from 1 species
GACAAACAGUUUAUUCAUUUUAACUUGUCACGAAAACUCAGGAAAUGGCAACCAGAUUCGCUCUGAGCCGACUCUGUAUCACUCGCUCGAUGGAGACAACUCGGGGGGCAACUCGCUACUACAGCGAUAGCAAGGGCCGUAUCCUGAGCGAAGAGGAACGCGCCGCUGAGAACGUCUAUAUCCAGAAAACUGAAGGGAACCAGAAGGGUUGAAUUCAUCAAUUGCACUUGAUGAGGACAAUCUUGUUGUGGAAUAAUCAUGAUUGUGGAAUAAUCAUAAAAAA